rnacentral:tRNA from 1 species
GUUGGCUUUCGGCGACAGGACGACGUACUGGUCGCUGGUGUUGACCAGUUCGGCGUACAGGACCGGGCGCUCGAUCUCGUCGAGCAGGCGGCGC